GGGCGUGCCCGCCCUCUGUGACUUCAGGGGCUUGGGGCCGACACCCCGCGGGCCUCGGUGCCAGCCUCCCGCUUACCCGGUCAGCCCCUGGGCCGAGUACCCCUGGGAGAGAAAGCGCUAAAUUCCCCCAACACUCCCGUGAUGGGGGCACAGGGAGCGCCGUGGGACACCUGAGGAAACUGAGGCCCAAGUGUUAAUUAACUUGCCCUGAUCACCUAGCACGUGGAGCCACGACUUGCUCAAGCCCUGCCUGAUUCCAGCCCCGGCCUUUGUUCAUUCAGUAAAUGUGGAAGGCGCAAGGGUAACUCGAGGCCUGCGGAGGGAACGAGAUGAGGGAGGCCGCAAGAGUCACCGCAGAGAAGAGGGAUUGGCUGUCUUGGACCCUCCGAGGGCCUCGGGGAAGGACUGCAGGAGAGCGGAUUCUUGAUGGGGCUUCACAGGAUGCGCAGGAGCUCUCCAGGCUACAGAGCGCAUUUCAGGAACUGGACUGGGAUGUACAGAGGCACCAUGGUGGGAAACAGCUGGGCCUUCCUGCAAAGAGGGGAGAGGCUCUUGGAGGUGCAGGGCUUGCGUUUUCUCAACCCAGACUGCCUCUGAGAACAGGGCAGGGGGUGUGAAGAGCUGAUGCCCUGGCCCUCCCCACUGGCUAGCUUUCCGGGGACUAAGGACUAAGGCUGGGCCAGGAUUCUGGGGUUCUAGGGGCUCUGCCUCCACACGCCAGUGCCUGUCUGUUGAGUUCACUUCUCUCUAAAAUCUCAUUUUACACCACGACCCAGUACAAACCACUCAGAAAAAUGUUUCAUUAAAAGUUCGGCAUACUACAUGCAUGCACUCUAA
rnacentral:lncRNA from 1 species